rnacentral:tRNA from 1 species
GUAUGUUGGCAGAAUAGUGCCACCGACUUAGAAUCGGUUCAUGGGUAACUCCACCUACUA